rnacentral:rRNA from 1 species
AUUGAACGCUGGCGGCAUGCCUUACACAUGCAAGUCGAACGGCAGCACGGGAGCAAUCCUGGUGGCGAGUGGCGAACGGGUGAGUAAUAUAUCGGAACGUGCCCAGUCGUGGGGAUAACGUAGCGAAAGCUACGCUAAUACCGCAUACGAUCUAUGGAUGAAAGCGGGGGAUCGCAAGACCUCGCGCGAUUGGAGCGGCCGAUAUCAGAUUAGGUAGUUGGUGAGGUAAAGGCUCACCAAGCCGACGAUCUGUAGCUGGUCUGAGAGGACGACCAGCCACACUGGGACUGAGACACGGCCCAGACUCCUACGGGAGGCAGCAGUGGGGAAUUUUUGGACAAUGGGCGCAAGCCGUGAUCCAGCAAUGCCGCGUGCAGGAUGAAGG